CAAAGAAGGCACAGUACUCAAAGAGCAUUCGAAGAGAGCGUGGAAAUGUUGGAUGUGGAUUAUGAUCGGAUUAGUUAUGGUUAUUUUUAUAUUUAUGGUCCUGUUUAUGAAAAUUAUGAAAAAACGAACAAAGUAACCCAAUCAAUCACGUUGUGCCGAAAGUAAUUCACUGAAGAGAUGAACACUUACCAGGAUGUGGGAAAGCACCUUUUUUGUAAAACACGAACCGAUUUUCAUAAGGAAAUUCCAUUAUACAUUUACCUUGCAUUGGCAUCAUUUAUUGCAACCGUUUGUUUUUUUUUUAAUUUCUAUUUUUAAAUAAAAGCCACCAAAAGAAAUCCAGUAUUUGGAAUUGAA